rnacentral:lncRNA from 1 species
GAAUAACGUAAAUGAACGGGCGUACAAGAGUUUAUCAUGUGGGUGUCGAGGCCUUGAGGAGCUUCAAGUCAUGUGGCAGCAGCGCUGGCACCGGACCGCCUGAGGCGCUGCUUGGCUGCAGAAAUCAAUGAAGAGGUUCAAAGGCUAAUGAGAAGAGGAUGGGAAAAGAAGCUGACAGAUGGAUGGACAGACAACGUGACUGUGAUGAAAAUGACAUUUCUUUGUAUGAUGCGUCAUCCCCACAGUACCAUCUUCUGCUUGAUGAAGUGUGUGAGCCAUAGCACUGCAAGCCUGAUUUGGAAAAAAGGCAAACAUUGCUACAGGUGAAGGACUAAUGGAUGAUGGUAAUUUGUACGGUCUCAUUUGGCUUGGCAGUCACAGAAGAUUCCAGUAGCAAAAAUAAAGGCAUUUAGAAUGGAUUAAUUCUAGAGAAA